rnacentral:rRNA from 1 species
UCAGACGAUGCGUCAUGCAUAUCAAUAAGCGGAGGAAAAGAAACUAACAAGGAUUCCCCUAGUAACGGCGAGUGAAGCGGGAAGAGCUCAAAUUUGAAAUCUUAAAGGGUUUCCCCUUACGAAUUGUAGUUUAAAGAAGUGUUUUCUGUUGAGGUUUUGGUAAAGGUUCUUUGGAAUAGGACAUCAUAGAGGGUGAGAAUCCCGUAUUUGACCUUUACUUUCAACUUUGUGAUACACUUUCAAAGAGUCGGAUUGUUUGGGAAUGCAGUCCAAAAUGGGUGGUAAAUUUCAUCUAAAGCUAAAUAUUGGCGAGAGACCGAUAGCGAACAAGUACCGUGAGGGAAAGAUGAAAAGAACUUUGAAAAGAGAGUUAAACAGUACGUGAAAUUGUCAAAAGGGAAGCGUUUGACACCAGUGUUGUUUUUCUGAAAAUCAAUUAAAGAACUGUUUAUGCUAAGCUGUUUAGACUUUAUCAGCUAUCUGUUUAGUUUUGAGCUUUUCUUUAAUGCACUUUUCAGUUAACAAGUCAACAUCAAUUUCUUUUGCUGUAAAAAAGCUUGAGGAAGGUGGCUUGAGAUUCGUCUUAAGUGUUUAUAGCCUCUUGCCUAUGCAGUCGGAGAGACUGAGGUCUGCAGCGUAGAUCCUUCGGGGCUAAAUGCAUUUGUGCUAAGUUAUAGCAUUUUAUAGACAACUUGUUGACUAUGAUUUGUCUUGUAGCUUACUCGCUUAUGUUAUUUUACCUACGCUUAGGAUGUUGAGCGCAUGUCUCUCUCU